rnacentral:rRNA from 1 species
AUGAACGCUGGCGGCGUGCCUAAUACAUGCAAGUCGAGCGAACAGACGAGGAGCUUGCUCCUCUGACGUUGGCGGCGGACGGGUGAGUAACACGUGGAUAACCUACCUAUAAGACUGGGAUAACUUCGGGAAACCGGAGCUAAUACCGGAUAAUAUAUUGAACCGCAUGGUUCAAUAGUGAAAGACGGUUUUGCUGUCACUUAUAGAUGGAUCCGCGCCGCAUUAGCUAGUUGGUAAGGUAACGGCUUACCAAGGCAACGAUGCGUAGCCGACCUGAGAGGGUGAUAGGCCACACUGGAACUGAGACACGGUCCAGACUCCUACGGGAGGCAGCAGUAGGGAAUCUUCCGCAAUGGGCGAAAGCCUGACGGAGCAACGCCGCGUGAGUGAUGAAGGUCUUCGGAUCGUAAAACUCUGUUAUUAGGGAAGAACAAAUGUGUAAGUAACUAUGCACGUCUUGACGGUACCUAAUCAGAAAGCCACGGCUAACUACGUG